rnacentral:lncRNA from 1 species
AGUUGGGUGGUUGGGAAAGGGAGGCUGAAGAUCUGCUUCCCCUGAGAGACAAGCAAUUUUCAACGAUGUAAAACACAAGCUACGUCUGCACUGCAGUGGCCAAAGAGCAAGCAGUAGAGUGUCAUGAGACAGGACUGUUGUCCUGGAAACAUCUUUUUUUAAAAUAACAACUUAACAAGCCUAACGCAGUGAGCCCCUACCUCUAAACAGCCGUAGCUUGAGAAGACAUGUGGGAUAUAUACUUAUCCACGGCUUGACCAUUUCCCCAGAUGACAUUACUGUGAAGUUUGCAUAAGUCAUCUGAGACUGAUAACAAGGACACUGUGCCACAGCAACGACAGACAACAAAUCUGGGGAAGUUUGAGGACACACCCUCCGGCUGGGUGGUUGGCAAAGGGAGGCUGAAGAGCCUGCUUCCCUUGAGAGACAAGCAUGUGCUACCCUGUUCUCAAAUAUUUCAGUUAUUCAUGGUCAUGUGGCUGUGCAUAUGGAGGAAAACAGAAAAAAAAUGUCACAGGAAAUGUACCUUCUGUUCCCAUUGUAUCUGAAGAUGAGCCAUUCAUACAACUUGGAUGUAGAUACUUCCUUACAUGUACCUUGAGCAACCCAAGAAAUUUGGGCAGGUUUCCAUGCUAUGACAACACAUUUGCUUAGAGACCAAGCAGCCCAGUGGAGAAAGCGAGAAGUAAGUUUUCUUUCAUUUUCAUUUUAAUCCUUUGGUGCUGGAUGUAGAACCCAUGGCCUCCUUGCAUGUUAUCUGUCCUCCGUUGAGUGGCUCAGAAGAUAAAGACUCUUGCCACCAAGCCUCAGUUCAAUUCCUGGGACCCACAUGGUGGAAGGAGAGAAUCAAUUCCUGAAAGCUGUCCAGUGACACCCCCAAAACACCAUUAAAUAAAUAAAUAAACACUUCAAGAGGAGAUGAGUGAAAGCUGCUUGUCCAUUAGAAUAUUCAAUGGAAGACUUCCGUUGACUACUCUAGUAUCAGGUCUAGCAGCUGGCAUCCGAGCUCAGAGUACCAGCAUGUACAAAAAAGGUCUGGUUUCCAGUUCAGAUCUGCCUGUCUUCUUCCUGUGCCCUAGCAAGCUAAAGAGGAUGAGGCAGUGCUCUGCGAAAGGAGGUUCUUGGCUCAAUUUUCCAGGACGCAUGAUGGGACCAAACUGUACGUCACUAUGUGGAAAUGCACAACCAUAAAUUCUGCUCUCUCUGGAAUGGAACAACAGAUUUAUUCUUGGUAAUAGCUGUCAUCUCUAUGUUCCUCCUUAUUGUUUUUGGAGUAUUAAGCCAAGUGAAAGGAGCUGUGGUUGGCCUGUGGAAUCCUAAUGAGAUGCAAAUCACCAUCGACUAAGCCAUUGCAGCAGGAGUUUCACUAUCUAAAAGAAAUGAUUUGUUUUCUGUCAGUCAUGUUUUAUCCUCCAUGGAUAACAAAUACCUUGCUUCAGUCAAGGCUUUGCAUCUGUAGAUAUCAAAUACCUUAGCUCAGCUUCCUUCUCAAUGGAAACAACUGGCUGAAAGAAACAAAACAGAUCCAAAAAUCAAUAUUCCUUCAUGCAAACCUGGAGACGACAGAUGUCAUUUCUGACAUCUAGCAUGAAGUCCAUUCACAUGGCCUUCAGGCAAUGACAUGAUGUGUAUCAUUCACUCACAGAAGAGUUGAAUAAAGGGCUAGAUAACUGUGAUCACAGUAAGAACACAGAGUUGACACGAUCGACUACUCUCCCUAUACCGUAUACUGCAGUCUAAUCCUCCUCUGCUUUCAAAUCCAGGUCAGAAAGCAAGUUUGUUUUUAACAGUUUCAC